UUAGGGAAUCUUUCCACAAUGGGCGCAAGCCUGAUGGAGCAACACCGCGUGAGUGAAGAAGGGUUUCGGCUCGUAAAGCUCUGUUGUUGGAGAAGAACGUGCGUGAGAGUAACUGUUCACGCAGUGACGGUAUCCAACCAGAAAGUCACGGCUAACUACGUGCC
rnacentral:rRNA from 1 species